rnacentral:rRNA from 1 species
GGUUGAUCCUGCCAGUAGCAUAUGCUUGUCUCAAAGAUUAAGCCAUGCAUGUCUAAGUACGCACGGCCGGUACAGUGAAACUGCGAAUGGCUCAUUAAAUCAGUUAUGGUUCCUUUGGUCGCUCGCUCCUCUCCUACUUGGAUAACUGUGGUAAUUCUAGAGCUAAUACAUGCCGACGGGCGCUGACCCCCCCUCCCGGGGGGGGGAUGCGUGCAUUUAUCAGAUCAAAACCAACCCGGUCAGCUCCCUCCCGGCUCCGGCCGUGGGGGCGGGCGCCGGCGGCUUUGGUGA